GAGGGCAGAAAAAAUGGCCCGGGAAACGGGUAGGUAGCCCUGGGACGUUUCCUAUGCUCCUCCGUACUGUGUGACCAGGCGUUCUUUAACAUGUAUGCACCUCAAGAUGAUUUGUUCAAUGCUCCUUGAUUGUCUUUCUCUACCAUACAAUAAGGCUGUUGAGGACACAGGCCAUCUGUCUCUCGUCACCACUGAAUCCUGACCCUUCGAACAGCGCCUGGCACAAAGCAGAUGUUCAUCAUUUGUUCAAUGGUGAAAUGGAGGCACCCACUGGCUUCAACUUAUGCCAAGUGGCAGAGCUGACUGCACAGCUGGAGCUCUCAGCUCCCCCCAUGAGCAUCUGCGAAGCGCAGGAUCUCUCCCCAGGGAGAUCAGAGCA